rnacentral:rRNA from 1 species
UACGUAGGGGGGUAGCGUUGUCCGGAUUUACUGGGCGUAAAGGGCGCGUAGGCGGCCACCGCAAGUCAGUUGUGAAAUCUCUGGGCUUAACCCAGAACGGUCAGCUGAUACUGCGGGGCUAGAGUGCAGAAGGGGCAACUGGAAUUCUCGGUGUAGCGGUGAAAUGCGUAGAUAUCGAGAGGAACACCUGCGGCGAAGGCGGGUUGCUGGGCUGACACUGACGCUGAGGCGCGAAAGCUAGGGGAGCGAACGGG